CUCUGCUCUCUCUUUACCCGGCUUUGUUUGGUGGCGUGCCAGACUAGCCGCUAGUCGUGCAUUUGGCUAUUCCGUGAUAACGCAAUUUCAUUAGCUUUAGGGUUUUUCUGCCGGGUAGAGGAGCUCCCUUUUCUGCUUUGAAACUUUACAGAACUUUUACAAACACAAAAAAACUAUACCACACUAGACUAGAGGAAAGGAAAGAGAUGAAAAACCAUGUCUCCUAGAAAUAUUUCCCUUUAAAAUGUGGAAGUGGUAAGAAGUAAAGCAAAAAAGCAAACAGUGGGAAUUCUAAAGUAGAGUCAAAAAGUCAUCCGAAAUAAAGUCCCAACGUUUCGUCGACCUAUGAGCUCUUUAAAGUGCAUUUUUACUCAAAGCGCUGUCAAUAAUUUGAUCAUUACAGUAAACGUACUCGUUGACCUUCCACCAGUGGCCGUUACCCAGCUCACCCGCUGUGUGACUUUUGAGCUGACAACUGUAAAGAUGCCUGCUGCAUCUGUGUUCACCCUGUGUGGACUCACCCCCUCCUGCUCCUGCUGCUGCUGCUGCUGCUGAUUAUGCAAAGAGUGAACCAGCAGCCUUGUGGUUAGCGCAUCUGUCUCCCGUACCGAGGCUGCGGGUUCGCGGCCCGUCAGAACACGGACAUUGAGGUUGGAAGCAUCGAUGUCAUCAUUGAGGCACGUGUCGGUUUGCUGUCGUGGGCGCCACUCACGUGACGUUCUGAAAAACAAAUCAAUUGAUCGACAAGCUGGACCGACGCCGAGCCUGAACGCCACAAAAACCCCCGGGGGACACACAACAUUCGACGAACAUGUACAGAAACAGUAACGCAGUUUGUUGUUUGGACUGCUGGUUAGAUGUCAUUGAUUAUUCAAAAAUGCGAAACUGUUUUGAGAUGCAUAAUGUAUGUAGUGUAAUUUGGAAAAACCUUAAACAAGCA